rnacentral:rRNA from 1 species
UACGGGGGGGGCAAGCGUUGUUCGGAAUUACUGGGCGUAAAGGGCGCGUAGGCGGCCUACUAAGUCGGACGUGAAAUCCCUCGGCUCAACCGAGGAACUGCGUCCGAUACUGGCAGGCUGGAAUCCGGGAGAGGGAUGUGGAAUUCCAGGUGUAGCGGUGAAAUGCGUAGAUAUCUGGAGGAACACCGGUGGCGAAGGCGGCAUCUUGGACCGGUAUUGACGCUGAGGCGCGAAAGCUAGGGGAGCAAACGGG